rnacentral:rRNA from 1 species
UGGGGAAUUUUGGACAAUGGGCGCAAGCCUGAUCCAGCAAUGCCGCGUGCAGGAUGAAGGCCUUCGGGUUGUAAACUGCUUUUGUACGGAGCGAAAAGGUCUGCCCUAAUACGGUGGGCUCAUGACGGUACCGUAAGAAUAAGCACCGGCUAACUACGUGCCAGCAGCCGCGGUAAUACGUAGGGUGCGAGCGUUAAUCGGAAUUACUGGGCGUAAAGCGUGCGCAGGCGGUUAUAUAAGACAGAUGUGAAAUCCCCGGGCUCAACCUGGGACCUGCAUUUGGGACUGUAUAGCUAGAGUACGGUAGAGGGGGAUGGAAUGCGGCGUGUAGCAGUGAAAUGCGUAGAGAUGCGGAGGAACACCGAUGGCGAAGGCAAUCCCCUGGACCUGUACUGACGCUCAUGAACGAAAGCGUGGGGAGCAAACA